CAUCUUUGCUGUAUACCUAUUUUUGUGGCUUUUCAGCUGCCACCUAUUUGCUGAUGGUUCCCAAAUUCGUAUCUCCAGUCAACCUCUCUCCAGAGCUUCUGACCUAUAUUUCCAGUUGGCCUCUUCAUGUGAAUGCUGUCUAAACCGAAUAUAUCCCAAUCUGAAUUCCCCAUCUGUCUCAGUGCUUGUUUCUUGUCUUUUAACUGCUGUGGUACAGGGGAAUGAACCCAGGGCUUCACACAUGCCGGGUAAGCUCUACCGCUGAGUUACAUCCCCAGCUCUUUUUACUUUUAGUUCGAGACAGUCUUGCUAAGUUGCCCAGGCUGGCCUUGAAAUUCUUGAUCCUCCUGCCUCAUCCUCUCAAGUAGCUGGGAUUGCAGAUGUGUAGCACCACACCCAGAUGUACUUCUGGUUUUUCUAAAUCUAACAAUGCUACACCAGGGUGGUAGUAUUAAGAGGCAGGGUCUUUAAGAGCUUAUAAGGCCAUGACGGCUUGUCCCUGCUUAAAGGAUUAAGCUUGUAAAUAAGUCUCCGUGGAGCAUUUGGCCAGCCUGCCCUUGUACCCUUCUGCCAUGCCAGGACACAGCAUCCUGCCUUCUGGGUGAUGCAGCAAAAAGACCUUCAUCAGAUGCAGCACCUGAUCUUGGACUUCAUAAGCUCUACAACUGGAUUGAACUCGGGUCCUUGCACUUGUGAGGCAGGCGCUGGAACCACUGAGCCAAAUCCCUGGCCCCAAGUAUUUCAUCCUUUGUCAUUAAGGUCUCCCUCAGGCUGACCCACAACACACUAUGUACCCCAGGCUGGCCUUGAACUCUCGGUGAUCCAACUGCCUCAGCCUCCUGUGUGCUGGGAUUACAGGCAUGCACCACCAGGCCUGGCUCGAUUGAUUGAUUUUUUUUUUUAGGUACUAGGAUAGAACUCAGGACCUUGCUCUUGCCAGGUGAGUGCAGCUGAGCCACAUCCCUGGCCCAGAUUGAUUGAUCUUUGAAUGUAAACCAAUUUUGAAUUUCCAGGGUAAACUCUACUUACUCACUAUUUAUUAUUCAUUUUAUUUAUCAUUGUAUGCAAUCUGCUAAACAUUUUUAAAGCACUUUUGAAUCUAUGGUCAUGAACAAAAAGGUCUAUAAUUUUUUUUUUUUUUGCUUGCACCAUUUUAAACAUUGAGAACAUGAGAUUGUGAUGUGGGUUUCUGUGAUGAAACAUUUUUAUGUAUUUAUUUAUUUAUUUUCUUAUUUUCUUGUUUUUAAAAUGGUC
rnacentral:lncRNA from 1 species